AUGUGCAAUAAAUCAGAAGGAGCCGCUCAGAUUAUUACCUCUGAACCAUCUGUGCUUCAGUUCGUGCAACUGAUUUGCAUGAUAAUGGUGUCUCUGUCGCCGAGCCAGCGCCAUCGAUCUGAUAGCGACGCCACCACAAAUUGGGAUGGCCGCGACCCCUAUAAAGUCCCCGGCGUUCAGUACGGUCGAUCACAAGUGCACAGCACAAGGCAAACAACAGAUAUUAGACGAGCAGCAAAGAAUCGUCGGUGCCUGUCUGCCUGCCUGAUCAAAGCGUCCAUCAGAGGAUCCUUGGCCAUUGAGACGUUCUUCACAGCGCUCGUCUUCUGCGAGGCGCCGCUGGACGGCCACGGCACAUCAGUGCUAACUGUCCGCACGGUGAACAGGCUGGUCUCAGGCGGCAGCGGCGCGACAGAGCCGGCGGCCACAGCUAACAAGGCGGAUGCUGAGAAGGUGCAGGGCUUCUUCUCCGGCAAGCCCACGGCUAACAAAGCAGACGGUGAGAAGGAGCAGGGUUUCUUCUCUAGCAAGCCGACAGCGCAACGGCGUGCUGGAUUCGAGCUCGCUUUCGAUGGACUCAAUUGCUUUAGUAGCUGCAGCAGAUCGUUCAGUCAGUGUGAUGUAGUGCUGUGUGACUGCCUUUGUCACGCGUUUUUCGUGGGAGCAAUGCUCUUCCCAGCAAGUGCUCUGCCCAGUCUCAGCCUUGCAGAUAAGCAUGAGCAUGUGUGUGUAGACGUGUAG
rnacentral:rRNA from 1 species